rnacentral:lncRNA from 1 species
GCCUUAGUGGCAGUGGUCUAAGAAGUAUUAUUGUAUCUCUAGCAUGUCAAAAUGAGGUUGAGAAUUCAAACCCAACCUGUGGUAGGUGUGUUUGACUCAAAGCUUAAUUGACUAGAAUUGACAGUUCCCUGGGGGAAAAGUUGGUGGGUAUCUACUGUUACUUUUAACUUUUUCAACCCAUAAAAAAUGGCCAUCAAGAUAUUACAAAUUGGGCUGAAAGUGGCAUUAUACACCAAAAUUCAAUCAAUCAAUCUUUUUUCACCAAUAUGUUCCUUUACUCUGCUUCUUGUGAAAUAAUUGUAAUUUGUUUAGCUAAAAGCACUGCAAAAAAAUAACAAAAAGUUGUAAAAAUAUCUAACAAUUCAGGAAACUCAAAAAACACAAUACAUUUUUUUUUUUUUUUUUUUUUUUUUUUUUUUUAGAUUCUCCAUUCUGAACUGACUGGAAGCCUUUGGACUAGACAGACCAUUAUUAAGUUUACAAGUAAAAUUGGUCUGUUUCAUUUCAUUUUCAAAGUAAAAAUGAAAUACAGUUACAGGGGGUGGGGAAUAACGAAUAAGAUCUAAAUUAUGAAACAGUCUCCAUAAGCACGAUAAGAAAAGUAAGAGUAAUUUUGAAAUUUUAAAUACAAGCUUCCAAUCUAGUUGAAAAUGGAGAAUCUUU